GACGAACGCUGGCGGCGUGCUUAACACAUGCAAGUCGAACGGGUCUGCCCUGUUUUUUGCGGGGUGGGUCAGUGGCGAACGGGUGAGUAACACGUGAGUAACCCGCCCCUCACUUCUGGAUAACCGCUUGAAAGGGUGGCUAAUACGGGGUGUUCUGGCUGUGCCGCAUGGUGUGGCUGGGAAAGAUUCACUUUUGUGGUGUUUUGGUGGGGGAUGGGCUCGCGGCCUAUCAGCUUGUUGGUGGGGUGAUGGCCUGCCAAGGCUUUGACGGGUAGCCGGCCUGAGAGGGUGGGCGGUCACACUGGGACUGAGAUACGGCCCAGACUCCUGCGGGAGGCAGCAGUGGGGGGUAUUGCACAAUGGGCGGAAGCCUGAUGCAGCGACGUCGCGUGAGGGAUGGAGGCCUUCGGGUUGUGAACCUCUUUCGCCGGUGAAGAAGGUCCUGCUCUUUGUGGUGGGGUUGACGGUAGCCGGGUUAUGAAGCGCCGGCUAACUACGUG
rnacentral:rRNA from 1 species